rnacentral:tRNA from 1 species
GCACUGGUGGUUCAGUGGUAAAAUUUUCACCUUCCAUGCCAGAGAGCUAGGUUUGAUUCCCAGCCAAUGCA